rnacentral:lncRNA from 1 species
UGGAGUUACCCUGUUGGAUAGAGAAAAGAAUGAUUGGAUUUUACUGGAUUUGUGAACUGGUUCAUUUGCUUCUUGAGAGGCUAGCAUUUUUGUGUGCAGUUGGUUUCCUUUGUCCUGAAAUUGUCUUUUAAAAUGGACUAUGUGGGAGUUCCUGCUGUGACUCAGCAGAAAUGAAUCUGACUAGCAUCCAUGAGGAUGCAGGUUCAAUACCUGGCCUUGCUCAGUGGGUUAAGGAUCUGGCAUGGCUGUGGCUGUGGUGUAGGCCGGCAGCUACAGCUCCAAUUCGCCCCCUAGCCUGGGAACCUCCAUAUGCCGGGGUGGGGCCCUAAAAAUAAAAAAAAUAAAAACAAUGUUUCAACCGUCCCUAAAGAAAGUCCUCGGAGGCGCAGUUUGCAUGAGUGCUGUGAUCACAGCUGUGAACCCGAGAGAGGAGCACGACUGUGACAAUGGGCAGCCCCAGGACCCGGUGGAAUCUCCACAGGGGCUUUGGGCAGGGCUGUCCUGGGACCUUGUGCCCCAGGUAUUGCUCCGCUUGCUGUUAAUUAAGGUCAUUUCUGGUCUUCUGUGUGCCACGGGUACAUGUAAAACCCCGAGACCAAACUCCAAGGUUUAUUGAGGCGCUUCUGUUUGUCCUUUGGGCUUUUCAGUUCAUUUUGCUUGGUACUGUUUCUUCAUUUAUAGACAAAUCGGCUUUGUGAUGUUUAAAAUUUUACUGAUGUCUACUGGAGGAUAGGAACAGAAAAACAAACAAAUGAACCAACCCAAACUGGGACAUUCCCAGGAGGAAGAGAAAGGUCCCACUCAGUUCCUAAAAUCACCAGAAGCUAUGCGGAGAAAUAGAAGUAUCUAAACCACUGCCAGUAGCAGGUUAAAGAUCUGGCAUUGCCAACGCUGUGGCUUAGGUUACAGAUGAGACCUUGAUUUGUCCAAAUCUGCCAGAAACCCCAUUUGAAUCCAACCUGUUUUGUAGAUGAAGGGUUUUUCAUUGCUUGUCCUUGAUUCAUGGCUGAAACGUUGGAAUGGGAAUCAUGAGCUCCCUGUGUGUGUGUGUGUGCUGUGUGUGUGUGUGUGGUAGAUCUCGUGUGGCACUGCCAGAAUUAAUUUGUAAAAGAGCGCUAUUUAAUUGGCUUAAAGGAAAAUAAGUGCUUAUGUGAAUAUGCAAAUAUAAAAGAAACUGACUAGAAUGAAUUUCGAGUUCACAUGAUCUAAGAAAUAUUCAGUAUCGAAUUAAUAAUAUCUGGUAUUCAAGCUAGCUGAGGCUUGUUGAUUUGAUUGAUACAAACAUGUCUUUAGAGCCGUCGACAUUAAGUAAAAUACUUUUAUUGUAACUAGCUUGACUAGAAAUCAAAUAAGACCUUAUUAUUCCUGUUACAAAAUUUGUCAGCCAAAAAAAAAAAAAAAAAUGAACAACAUGACAAAACUUUUAAAAUGAGAUAGGAAUUUUAAGUAAAGGCUAUAAGGAAUAGUUACGUUUUGAGAAUGUCUGUCUAAAAUAGUUUCGUUUCAAAUUACGAACAUCUGGAGAGACUAAGUUAAAUGAGAAUUCAUUGGCUAUCUGAGUCAUUUCAAAUAGGAUAAAAUAUUAGAACAUUAAUUGCUGAACAAAUCUAAGUUUACCUACGUUUGCCCGCUUAAGAGAGGAUAUGCUGGUAUGACAAAAGAGUUUAUUUGCUUCUUGGUUUUUCAGAAGAGAUUAACGUUUUACAAUUGAGAACAUUUAUAAGGGAUUAAGGAAUGAUACGGGACAUAUGCGUAUGCAAAGAUGUGGGAUGUGGGUUUUCAGCAAAGACGCUAUGAGGAAUGGAAAUGCGUUUCCUUAAAGGGGAAAAGGUGGUUUUUGUCCUGGAACUGGUUCUUUGAGAAUGGAAAAGAAAGGGGGGGGGCAGAUUAAUACAGAAACAAAAUUGUGAAGGUUUGUGGAGGAGGGGUACUGAAAAGAGUUUCGUGCCUGGUCGGGAUUGGCGAAGAUCAGAUUGAACUCAAUUAAGAAAAUGCAUUUUAAAGGUAAAAUGGUACAAAACGGGCACUCGGUUCUCAAAAAGGACAAAGUGUUCUUAAAACAGUGAACUGCUUUGGUCAUUAUGAGUAUAUGGGGUCACCUGCAUUGGCCAUGGAGCUGUUUUAGUAUCGCUGGUAAAACUUGUUGCUAUUUUUGACAAGUUUCCUAAAAAUCAAAGUCUAAACGAAGUUCAUUUGCCCUCUGGCUAACUUUGAGGUUUUCCAAAGGGUCCCUGGAAUACGUCAAAUUAUUUAUUUUCUCUCUUAAAGGGAUAGUAANCUCACUAGGUUUAUUUGGUAUGUUAACUACAUGGGAAGCAUUAUCAAAUAAGAGGUGAUAAAACUUAGAUUUGGGAGUUCCUGUCGAGGUGCAGCAGAACCAUGAGGAUACAGGUUUGAUUCCUGGCCUCGCUCAGUGUGUUAAGGAACCGGCGUUGCUGUGAGCUGUGGGGUAGGUCGCAGAUGCGGCUUGGAUCUGGCAUUGCUGUGGCUGCGGUAUAGGCCAGCAUCUGUAGCUCCAGUUCGACCUCUAGCCCGGGAACUUCCACUAUUUUAGGGCAGCCGUGACCCUAAAAAGACCAAAAAAAAAAAAAGAACUUAGAUUGUAUCACAUGAGUAAACAUUACUAAUACACACUCCAGAAGUGACCUUCAACUCCUAAAAUUCUGGUUUAUCCUGGUAAACGGUAUCUGUCAUUAUUUUGGUGAUUGUCUUAAAUUGUUUGUCACAGCAGUAACCAAGUGUCUUUUCAAUUACAUUGUCAUCCCAGUUCAUUGAUGCCAAAGCAAAAAGGCCUCCUUUUAAUGGUUAGAGAUGAUCAGUUACCGCUCGUGAUUUGAAAGUGGCCUUUGAGCGACUGAAGUCAUUCAUGUGGGGCAGAAGCAGGGAGGAAUGACCCAUAAAUCCUUGACGUGCAAGUGUUUGUGCUGUUAGCAGGGAAAGUAAGACGGAAGGGGAUGAGUGUGAAGAUACAUUGCGUCAAACCCUAACUCCUCCGGCUGAGCUGGGCUGUCCCAGCUCCUCCGUCCUUACGUCAAUGUAUCCACCUCUUCCCACCACCGUCUGAUCCUUUCCAGCCCGAAUUCCUGACACUGGGGCUCAGGUUUUCCCCUUCUUCUAGGGAUCGGGUAGAAAACCCUGUGUUACUUUCUGGGACACAGGGACUUGGUCCAGUUUCACCAUCUAAGACCUGACAGGGCACCCACUUCAGGGCAGGGCAGUGUCUACUGCUGUCCUUGCAUAUAGGGGCAUAUAGGGGCUAAAUGCAAAUGACCAGCCGGCUGGGUUUCUCAGACUUGUUCAGUUGGGAAGAUGGCAACCCCCUUUGUAGGGAGGGCGCUCUACACCCGAAGCCCCCCUGGCAGCACCCACAGCUGAAUAAGACUGGGAUCCCAGUGAGGGACGAAGGCCCUUACUGGAGCACUCAUCACUAGUGCAUCUUGGCAGGGCUUUGAAAAGGGAACCAAAGCAAGUUUGAACAGAAUUCAAGAAAUUCAGGAAAAAAAAAAAAAAGACCCUCUGAAUUUUUGGAAAGGAUUUAUCAGGUCUAUAGACGUCAUACUAAUGCUGAUCCCAAGGCCCCCGAAAUAUCAGAAUGGUCAUUUGGACCUUUUCUGGGGGGCAAAGUGCCUCAGAUAUUGGGAGAAAGUUGUAAAAAUUAGGUGAUGCAUUUGGAAUGACCCCUUCUCAGUCAGUAGAUGUUGCUUUGAAAGUGGGGGGCCCAAGGGCACCCUUAAAUUCUUUCCCUUGUAUUCCUGUCUUAGGAUCUAAAGAUCAUUAUCUUGCUGCACUCAACAGGCAGGAUGAGUGGCCUCAUUGUUCCUUUAAUGGCCUGGGGCAUAUCCUGUGUUUCUAUUGAUGCCUUUAUCGUUAAGGCUGCUUCAUUUCACAUGUUCUGAAAACUUUCUUGAGUGAUCAUUAGCUUACAGAGUUCCCUCUCUAUCCAUGGUCCCCUAGUGGGCUUUCUAAAACUACCUGUGUCACGAUUCUGCUCUAUCCCUGUCAUUCUUCCUUCAAGGGGUUUUACCCCUUUAUGCUUGGGUGGGGGGGGGGUUGCUGGGUACAGGACAGUGACCUUCAUUAACUACUUCCUGCUGAGACAGCCAGUGUCGUUCUUGUUAAUGUCACUUGCCCAGCCGUCACAGAGGUUAAACAGUGUAAAAUGAGUCUAAAAAACACGGGCCAAGAGAAAUGGAACAAUGAUCAUCAAAAGGGGUGAUCAUUAAGAGGGGUGACAGCCAUGAUCCUGGGGACCCAAGCUGUUUUCCCAAAAUAGUUCCUACAUCUGGAAGAGAGUCACUUGGGCCUCUCUUUGUGCCUGUGACUCAGUAAUAGGGGUACCUUAGCAGAUUCACCUGGAAUAAAAGCACAACAUCCUGUCUUAGUGGUGGCACAGGUUUCCCGCUGUGAGGCUGUGGUCAUGUCUGAGGCCAUUCUGUUUGUAAGACAGCCUCCUUCGUUAGAGUUGCUUCACUGUCAAGGAGGAAUGUGGCGUGAUUAUUGUCAUUCAGGGCAUCCUGCGUAAAUUUGGUCAAAGCCUCAAUGUGAACCACAUGUUCAAGACCUAACCCUGGUAUAAAAACAUUUAACAGGUGAUCAUGCCAAUGAAAGGUGGACUGAGUCCAUCUAGUUCUUAUCAUAGGAAGGUUGGUGGGGAGGGGGCAUGGUUCCAAGAAGGCAGGCGGCACCUGCUGCCUAGAGUACAUCGGCCCAGCCAUCCUGGUGGAAGGCGUGGCCAGAGAUUUGUGCCCCAUUUCCACUGGGUACCAUUAGGGGCUCUCCAGUAUAUUCCUCGUCUCCUUUUCCAGUCCAUCCCAAUCCAGUGAGUUAGCUGUGGGGACCAUAAGGCGGUGACAAGUGUUCCUAGAUAACCACCCCAAGUCUCUAGCCCCAUUUUCCUAGGGCAUCCAGGAAUGGGUCUUCUGUUCCCAGCAUAAGGGAGUUGUGUCUUUUAGGCUACGAUCCUGGAGUGAGCCAAAUGAAUCCAUCGCAGACUUGAACCAUAUUCCCUGCCCACAGUCUGGAGUUCUUAUGCUUGACUGUGGGAUGUGCUGUCUGAUGAGCCU